GGGCGGGUAGCUCAGUUGGUUAGAGCGCGCGGUUCACAUCCGCGAGGUCGGGGGUUCGAGUCCCUCCUCGCCCA
rnacentral:tRNA from 3 species